rnacentral:Y_RNA from 1 species
GGCUGGUCCGAAGGUAAUGAGUUAUCUCAAUUGACUAUUCAGUCAGUUACAGAUCGAGCUCCUUGUUCUACUCUUUCCCUGCUUCUCACUACUGGACUUGACUAGUCUUUA